rnacentral:rRNA from 2 species
GCAUCAUGAUUUACAUUUGAGUGAGUGGCGAACUGGUGAGUAACACGUGGGAAACCUGCCCAGAAGCGGGGGAUAACACCUGGAAACAGAUGCUAAUACCGCAUAACAACUUGGACCGCAUGGUCCGAGCUUGAAAGAUGGCUUCGGCUAUCACUUUUGGAUGGUCCCGCGGCGUAUUAGCUAGAUGGUGGGGUAACGGCUCACCAUGGCAAUGAUACGUAGCCGACCUGAGAGGGUAAUCGGCCACAUUGGGACUGAGACACGGCCCAAACUCCUACGGGAGGCAGCAGUAGGGAAUCUUCCACAAUGGACGAAAGUCUGAUGGAGCAACGCCGCGUGAGUGAAGAAGGGUUUCGGCUCGUAAAACUCUGUUGUUAAAGAAGAACAUAUCUGAGAGUAACUGUUCAGGUAUUGACGGUAUUUAACCAGAAAGCCACGGCUAACUACGUGCCAGCAGCCGCGGUAAUACGUAGGUGGCAAGCGUUGUCCGGAUUUAUUGGGCGUAAAGCGAGCGCAGGCGGUUUUUUAAGUCUGAUGUGAAAGCCUUCGGCUCAACCGAAGAAGUGCAUCGGAAACUGGGAAACUUGAGUGCAGAAGAGGACAGUGGAACUCCAUGUGUAGCGGUGAAAUGCGUAGAUAUAUGGAAGAACACCAGUGGCGAAGGCGGCUGUCUGGUCUGUAACUGACGCUGAGGCUCGAAAGUAUGGGUAGCAAACAGGAUUAGAUACCCUGGUAGUCCAUACCGUAAACGAUGAAUGCUAAGUGUUGGAGGGUUUCCGCCCUUCAGUGCUGCAGCUAACGCAUUAAGCAUUCCGCCUGGGGAGUACGGCCGCAAGGCUGAAACUCAAAGGAAUUGACGGGGGCCCGCACAAGCGGUGGAGCAUGUGGUUUAAUUCGAAGCUACGCGAAGAACCUUACCAGGUCUUGACAUACUAUGCAAAUCUAAGAGAUUAGACGUUCCCUUCGGGGACAUGGAUACAGGUGGUGCAUGGUUGUCGUCAGCUCGUGUCGUGAGAUGUUGGGUUAAGUCCCGCAACGAGCGCAACCCUUAUUAUCAGUUGCCAGCAUUAAGUUGGGCACUCUGGUGAGACUGCCGGUGACAAACCGGAGGAAGGUGGGGAUGACGUCAAAUCAUCAUGCCCCUUAUGACCUGGGCUACACACGUGCUACAAUGGAUGGUACAACGAGUUGCGAACUCGCGAGAGUAAGCUAAUCUCUUAAAGCCAUUCUCAGUUCGGAUUGUAGGCUGCAACUCGCCUACAUGAAGUCGGAAUCGCUAGUAAUCGCGGAUCAGCAUGCCGCGGUGAAUACGUUCCCGGGCCUUGUACACACCGCCCGUCACACCAUGAGAGUUUG